rnacentral:rRNA from 1 species
UACAGAGGGCUCAAGCGUUGUUCGGAUUUAUUGGGCGUAAAGGGUGUGUAGGUGGCGCCGUAAGUCGGGUGUGAAAUUUCGGAGCUUAACUCCGAAACUGCAUUCGAUACUGCGGUGCUUGAGGACUGGAGAGGAGACUGGAAUUCAUGGUGUAGCAGUGAAAUGCGUAGAGAUCAUGAGGAAGACCAGUGGCGAAGGCGGGUCUCUGGACAGUUCCUGACACUGAGACACGAAGGCCAGGGGAGCAAACGGG